CCCUCAAAUCCCAAAAUUAAACACCCAAAACUCCUCUAAAAAUUUUCUCUAGAAGUAAAAAAAAGGAGAAAGAAGAGGAGGCUAGGUCAAGCACAAGUCUCCAAUUUUCAACCUUUUAUGGGCAUUACGACUAAGCUAAGGGUUCGACAACAAGAUUCUCACACUCGUGUCUAGCUUCCUUGUUGAGCAAUAAAGUGAAGAUUUGGUUAGUCUUCAUUGUGUUUGAGGAUGUGAUCACCCUUUUAUUUUAUGCCUUUCUUUUAUGUCUUGGACUAUUGUAUGGGCUACGUCCCAAGACUUUAUCCAUGACUAUGCUAUUAGAGUUGUGAUUUAUUGUAAAGGACUUUGAUUAUGUUGAAAUAUUUUUAAUACUUGCACCA